AACACUUCACUUUUUGUCCAACAUUAAAAGCCAUUUCUCGAACUUCAAUACCAGUAAACUGUAAUGGAGGAGGUUAGAUUAAGUUUUUAUAGCACCAACAAUAUUCUUCAAUAAAACAGCUGUUUUUCAUAAUGAGUGUUGUUAAACAGCUGUUCUUUAAAACUGCAGCGCAGUAAUCAAAUCAGGUAAUUCAAGAAAUAAAUGUGUAUUGGAAACAAGAUUUGUAAAAUUACCAGCAAGUUAUAUGUUGUAAAUGAGCUCAACUUAUAUAUUUAGUAUAUAUUUUCAGGUCAAAGCCAACCGAAGGAUGAAGUGGCUGCGAAGAAGAAAAGAAACAGAACAGACAACAGAAACCGAACUUGGAAACGACAGCCACAGCCUAAACAGGUGGACGAGGAGGAGUACAGUUCCGUGACGUGGUGUCCUCCCUCAGGACAAACCGGAGACGGCAGGACCAGUCUCAAUGACAAGUUGGGAUACUGAUUGGUCUUCACUUGGAAGUGUUGUUUACAAGGUCAAGACUUGCAUUUCAUUUAUACUGGUAAUCUUUUUGGUAAUUAGUGCUGAUAAUGUGAUUUACCUUUAAUUAAUGAUUAUUAAAAUAAAUUAUACUUGUA